rnacentral:rRNA from 1 species
UACGUAGGGGGCAAGCGUCAUCCGGAUUCACUGGGUGUAAAGGGAGCGCAGGCGGUACGGCGAGUCUGAUGUGAAAACCCGGGGCCCAACCCCGGGACCGCACCGGAUACUGCCGGACUCGAGUGCCGGAGGGGCAGGCGGAAUUCCUGGUGUAGCGGUGAAAUGCGCAGAUAUCAGGAGGAACACCGGUGGCGAAGGCGGCCUGCUGGACGGUAACUGACGCUGAGGCUCGAAAGCGUGGGGAGCGAACAGG